GAUGAACGCUAGCGGCAGGCUUAAUACAUGCAAGUUGAGGGGCAGCAUGAUAUACGCGAGUAUAUUGAUGGCGACCGGCGGACGGGUGAGUAAUAGGUAGGAGACCUACCUCAUACAGGGGGAUAGCAUAGAGAAAUCUGUGGUAAUACCCCAUGAGGUUAUAUGAAUAGAGGCAUAUAAUCAAAGCAUAAGCGAUUAUGCGGUAUGAGAGGGGCCUACUGACCAUUAGCUAGUUGGUGAGGUAAGGGCUCACCAAGGCGAAGAUGGUUAGGGGUUUUGAGAGAGAGACCCCCCACAUUGGAACUGAGAGACGGUCCAGACUCCUACGGGAGGCAGCAGUAGGGAAUAUUGGGCAAUGGGCGAAAGCCUGACCCAGCCAUGCCGCGUGAAGGAAGACAGCCUUAUGGGUUGUAAACUUCUUUACUACGCGAAUAGAGGUUAGUACGAGAUACUAAUAGGAAGGUAGUGUAGUAAAAGCACCGGCUAACUCCGUG
rnacentral:rRNA from 1 species